rnacentral:rRNA from 1 species
UUGGAGGGCAAGUCUGGUGCCAGCAGCCGCGGUAAUUCUAACUCCAAUAGCAUAUAUUAAAGUUGUUGCAGUUAAAAAGCUCAUAGUUGAAUUUCAGGGUUCUACCGUUGGUCGGGCAAUAGUCUGUACUGGCGUGUAGAAUUUCUACCUCCUGGGGAACCAUCAUGUUAUUUAUUUAGCGUGGUGGGAAACCAGGACCUUUACCUUGAAAAAAUUAGAGUGUUCAAAGCAGGCUUACGUCUGAAUACAUUAGCAUGGAACAAUAAAAUAGGACGGUGGUCCUGUUUUGUUGGUUUCUGAAUCACCUUAUGAUUAAUAGGGAUAGGUGGGGGCAUUAGUAUUCAAUUGUCAGAGGUGAAAUUCUUGGAUUUAUUGAAGACUAACUUCUGCGAAAGCAUUUACCAAGGAUGUUUUCAUUAAUACAAGUAUAGUAAAGGUAGGGAUACGGAAGACGUAUACGAAGUAACGUAACGGUUACGUUACGUUU